GUCGUCAAAUACCGGGAGUGGAAACGAGAUGCGCGAGCGUGAUCCAUGCUCGCCUCGCGCUGGAUCAUGGAGCACGCCGAUUUUUUUCAAAUAAUCUUUUUUGUGCCACAUUCACCAAUUCCGCGGGAUUUUCAAAAUGUCAAAAUUUAUUUUGGUUCUUCCUGCAAGCGGAGCAGUUUAGACGUCUCCAUACAUAAACCUCGUCAGAUUUCCGCUUCCCUUUUGUAGCACUCUUCGUCGUGGAUUCGUCGGCAGUGCAUGGUCAUGCUGGACAGGGAGAUAUCGGUAGCCAUUUUACGGCUGAUGUUUUAGGAACUUGGGCGAGAGACCUGGAGACCACAUCAGCUGUGUUUUCAAGUUUAAUUUGCGGUACAGUAGUGGCAAGAAAGCCGUCCAUCAUGCCAGCAUCAUCCGCAGCAGCAACAGCAGCAGCACCCCAGCCCACCGCCAUAGUCAACUGCACUGCAGAGACACCUAAAAGAUACCAUUGUGGUUGGUGUGUUGUUGCGGUGAGAAGAGAACUGGAAGCUAGCAGAAAGCCUGAGUUAACUAGCCUCAAGCCGGUGUUGGCGACUUUCGGCCAUGAAAUUCUGGCCAACAUGUCUCCGAAUCUACCAAACUUUGAAAAGAUAAUUGAAUCUGAGA